rnacentral:rRNA from 1 species
ACGGUAACAGGAAACAGCUUGCUGUUUCGCUGACGAGUGGCGGACGGGUGAGUAAUGUCUGGGAAACUGCCUGAUGGAGGGGGAUAACUACUGGAAACGGUAGCUAAUACCGCAUAACGUCGCAAGACCAAAGAGGGGGACCUUAGGGCCUCUUGCCAUCGGAUGUGCCCAGAUGGGAUUAGCUAGUAGGUGGGGUAAAGGCUCACCUGGGCGACGAUCCCUAGCUGGUCUGAGAGGAUGACCAGCCACACUGGAACUGAGACACGGUCCAGACUCCUACGGGAGGCAGCAGUGGGGAAUAUUGCACAAUGGGCGCAAGCCUGAUGCAGCCAUGCCGCGUGUAUGAAGAAGGCCUUCGGGUUGUAAAGCACUUUCAGCGGGGAGGAAGGGAGUAAAGUUAAUACCUUUGCUCAUUGACGUUACCCGCAGAAGAAGCACCGGCUAACUCCGUGCCAGCAGCCGCGGUAAUACGGAGGGUGCAAGCGUUAAUCGGAAUUACUGGGCGUAAAGCGCACGCAGGCGGUUUGUUAAGUCAGAUGUGAAAUCCCCGGGCUCAACCUGGGAACUGCAUCUGAUACUGGCAAGCUUGAGUCUCGUAGAGGGGGGUAGAAUUCCAGGUGUAGCGGUGAAAUGCGUAGAGAUCUGGAGGAAUACCGGU